AUUGAACGCUGGCGGCAUGCCUUACACAUGCAAGUCGAACGGUAACAGGUCUUCGGAUGCUGACGAGUGGCGAACGGGUGAGUAAUACAUCGGAACGUGCCUAGUAGUGGGGGAUAACUACUCGAAAGAGUGGCUAAUACCGCAUGAGAUCUACGGAUGAAAGCAGGGGAUCGCAAGACCUUGUGCUACUAGAGCGGCCGAUGGCAGAUUAGGUAGUUGGUGGGAUAAAAGCUCACCAAGCCGACGAUCUGUAGCUGGUCUGAGAGGACGAUCAGCCACACUGGGACUGAGACACAGCCCAGACUCCUACGGGAGGCAGCAGUGGGGAAUUUUGGACAAUGGGCGUAAGCCUGAUCCAGCAAUGCCGCGUGCAGGAUGAAGGCCUUCGGGUUGUAAACUGCUUUUGUACGGAACGAAAAGCCCCGGGUUAAUACCCUGGGGUCAUGACGGUACCGUAAGAAUAAGCACCGGCUAACUACGUGCCAGCCGCCGCGGUAA
rnacentral:rRNA from 1 species